rnacentral:rRNA from 1 species
GGUGUAUUUAUUAGAUAAAAAACCAACGCCCUUCGGGGCUUCUUGGUGAUUCAUGAUAACUUCACGGAUCGCAUGGCCCUGCGCCGGCGACGGUUCAUUCAAAUUUCUGCCCUAUCAACUUUCGAUGGUAAGGUAUUGGCUUACCAUGGUUUCAACGGGUAACGGGGAAUUAGGGUUCGAUUCCGGAGAGGGAGCCUGAGAAACGGCUACCACAUCCAAGGAAGGCAGCAGGCGCGCAAAUUACCCAAUCCCGACACGGGGAGGUAGUGACAAUAAAUACUGAUACAGGGCUCUUUUGGGUCUUGUAAUUGGAAUGAGUACAAUUUAAACCUCUUAACGAGGAACAAUUGGAGGGCAAGUCUGGUGCCAGCAGCCGCGGUAAUUCCAGCUCCAAUAGCGUAUAUUAAAGUUGUUGCAGUUAAAAAGCUCGUAGUUGAAACUUGGGCCUGGCUGGCAGGUCCGCCUCACCGCGUGUACUUGUCCGGCCGGGCCUUUCCUUCUGGAGAACCUCAUGCCCUUCACUGGGUGUGUUGGGGAACCAGGACUUUUACUUUGAAAAAAUUAGAGUGUUCAAAGCAGGCCUUUGCUCGAAUACGUUAGCAUGGAAUAAUAGAAUAGGACGUGCGGUCCUAUUUUGUUGGUUUCUAGGACCGCCGUAAUGAUUAAUAGGGACAGUCGGGGGCAUCAGUAUUCAAUUGUCAGAGGUGAAAUUCUUGGAUUUAUUGAAGACUAACUACUGCGAAAGCAUUUGCCAAGGAUGUUUUCAUUAAUCAGUGAACGAAAGUUAGGGGAUCGAAGACGAUCAGAUACCGUCGUAGUCUUAACCGUAAACUAUGCCGACUAGGGAUCGGGCGAUGUUCUUUUUCUGACUCGCUCGGCACCUUACGAGAAAUCAAAG